AGACCAUGAUGAGGACUUUUUCUCAAUAGCUCCUUGAAUCUUUCCCAAGUUUCAUAAAAGGAUUCCCCAUCCUCUUGUGAAUAUAUAUUGAUUUUAAUCAUUAAUUU
rnacentral:snoRNA from 1 species